UACGGAGGGUGCAAGCGUUGUCCGGAUUUAUUGGGUUUAAAGGGUGCGUAGGCGGCCCAUUAAGUCCGUGGUGAAAGCCAACAGCUCAACUGUUGAACUGCCAUGGAUACUGAUGGGCUUGAGUACAGACGAGGUAGGCGGAAUGGAUGCUGUAGCGGUGAAAUGCAUAGAUAGCAUCCAGAACCCCGAUUGCGUAGGCAGCUUACUAGGCUGUAACUGACGCUGAGGCACGAAAGCGUGGGGAGCGAACAGG
rnacentral:rRNA from 1 species